rnacentral:rRNA from 1 species
UACGAGGGGGGGCUAGCGUUGCUCGGAAUCACUGGGCGUAAAGGGUGCGUAGGCGGGUCUUUAAGUCAGGGGUGAAAUCCUGGAGCUCAACUCCAGAACUGCCUUUGAUACUGAGGAUCUUGAGUUCGGGAGAGGUGAGUGGAACUGCGAGUGUAGAGGUGAAAUUCGUAGAUAUUCGCAAGAACACCAGUGGCGAAGGCGGCUCACUGGCCCGGUACUGACGCUGAGGUGCGAAAGCGUGGGGAGCAAACAGG